GACGAACGCUGGCGGCGUGCCUAAUACAUGCAAGUUGAGCGAUGAAGAUUGGUGCCUGCACCAAUUUGAAGAGCAGCGAACGGGUGAGUAACGCGUGGGGAAUCUGCCUUUGAGCGGGGGACAACAUUUGGAAACGAAUGCUAAUACCGCAUAACAACUUUAAACAUAAGUUUUAAGUUUGAAAGAUGCAAUUGCAUCACUCAAAGAUGAUCCCGCGUUGUAUUAGCUAGUAGGUGAGGUAAAGGCUCACCAAGGCGAUGAUACAUAGCCGACCUGAGAGGGUGAUCGGCCACAUUGGGACUGAGACACGGCCCAAACUCCUACGGGAGGCAGCAGUAGGGAAUCUUCGGCAAUGGACGAAAGUCUGACCGAGCAACGCCGCGUGAGUGAAGAAGGUUUUCGGAUCGUAAAACUCUGUUGGUAGAGAAGAACGUUGGUGAGAGUGGAAAGCUCAUCAAGUGACGGUAACUACCCAGAAAGGGACGGCUAACUACGUG
rnacentral:rRNA from 1 species